rnacentral:rRNA from 1 species
GAUGAACGCUAGCUACAGGCUUAACACAUGCAAGUCGAGGGACCGGCGCACGGGUGAGUAACACGUAUCCAACCUGCCCUUUACUCGGGGAUAGCCUUUCGAAAGAAAGAUUAAUACCCGAUAUAAAGGAUGGGGAUGCGUUCCAUUAGGUUGUUGGUGAGGUAACGGCUCACCAAGCCUUCGAUGGAUAGGGGUUCGGAGAGGAAGGUCACCCGCAUUGGAACAUGGACACGGUCCAACCUGCGACGGAGGGCAGCAGUGAGGAAUAUUGGUCAAUGGUCGCUAGCCUGACCCAGCCAAGUAGCGUAAAGGAUGAAGGCUUAUGGGUCGUAAACUUCUUUUAAAUAAGAAUAGGUAUUAUAUGAAUAAGGAUCGGCUAACUCCGUGCCAGCAGCCGCGGUAAUUC